AACGCUGGCGGAGGCUUAACACAUGCAAGUCGAGCGGUAACAUUUCUAGCUUGCUAGAAGAUGACGAGCGGCGGACGGGUGAGUAACGCGUAGGAAUCUGCCUAGUAGUGGGGGACAACAUGUGGAAACGCAUGCUAAUACCGCAUACGCCCUACGGGGGAAAGGAGGGGAUCUUCGGACCUUUCGCUAUUAGAUGAGCCUGCGUGUGAUUAGCUAGUUAGUGGGGUAAAGGCCUACCAAGGCGACGAUCUCUAGCUGGUCUGAGAGGAUGAUCAGCCACACUGGGACUGAGACACGGCCCAGACUCCUACGGGAGGCAGCAGUGGGGAAUAUUGGACAAUGGGCGCAAGCCUGAUCCAGCCAUGCCGCGUGUGUGAAGAAGGCCUUAGGGUUGUAAAGCACUUUCAGGAGUGAGGAAGGGUGUACGGUUAAUACCCGUAUAUUUUGACGUUAACUCCAGAAGAAGCACCGGCUAACUCUGUGCCAGCAGCCGCGGUA
rnacentral:rRNA from 1 species